rnacentral:rRNA from 1 species
GAUGAACGCUGGCGGCGUGCCUAAUACAUGCAAGUCGAGCGAAUGGAUUAAGAGCUUGCUCUUAUGAAGUUAGCGGCGGACGGGUGAGUAACACGUGGGUAACCUGCCCAUAAGACUGGGAUAACUCCGGGAAACCGGGGCUAAUACCGGAUAACAUUUUGAACCGCAUGGUUCGAAGUUGAAAGGCGGCUUCGGCUGUUACUUAUGGAUGGACCCGCGUCGCAUUAGCUAGUUGGUGAGGUAACGGCUCACCAAGGCAACGAUGCGUAGCCGACCUGAGAGGGUGAUCGGCCACACUGGGACUGAGACACGGCCCAGACUCCUACGGGAGGCAGCAGUAGGGAAUCCUCCGCAAUGGACGAAAGUCUGACGGAGCAACGCCGCGUGAGUGAUGAAGGCUUUCGGGUCGUAAAACUCUGUUGUUAGGGAAGAACAAGUGCUAGUUGAAUAAGCUGGCACCUUGACGGUACCUAACCAGAAAGCCACGGCUAACUACGUGCCAGCCGCCGCAGUAA